rnacentral:lncRNA from 1 species
UUUUUUUAACAGCACAAGUGCACUUGGGUUCCACCAGCGAUUUUUACAUAUGCUCCUCUAGGCCGGUUCGCGGUGCGUUCUUCUCCUUGAUCCUGGCUGCAGUUCUGCCGCUGACACGUUUUAAAACCAGGAACCAAGUGCGUCAGGCUUAAGAAUCUGAGUCCUCCAGGGGCGGGCUGGAACUCAAAGCGGUGCCAGCCGUCCCCGCGACCUCCCGGGUACACCCCCCAGUCUUCAGUCUCCUGAACGCAAUCUGUGGACAAUUUUCCCAAAGUCCCAAAAAUAACACGGCCCUGCCAAUAGUCGUUGGCGAUGCCGUUUGUUUUUCUUAGAGGGCAAUGAAAACUCAACAGCUUUCUGCUGCAUCCCGAAUCCCGCUCCUGCUAAUUAUUAACAGACCUAGUUUCUUCAACUUUUUCUGCCAGAAGGGAGGACGCCGCGGCUCCCCUUCUCUCCCACGGGCGAGCUGCGUGCAGAGCAAGGGUCUCCACCGAGGGCAGGCUGCGGCUGCCUCGCCUGGGCAGGCGGCCCUUCUCGGGCGCUCUAAGGGCCGAGCCUCCCCGCCGACGCCAGUAGGUGACAGGCGAUCCUCAGCCACUCACCCUCGCCUCCCGGAUCUCUCGUGGCGGGGCUCCAGGCCAGGCAGCUGGCCUCGGCGCAGGGGGGAGCCGGCGCGACCUGGCUGCCACGCAGCACGAGGGGGCCGUGCGCCCAGCCUCUGCGCAGCCACAGCCCAGCAACCCUUCCCGUGCGGUCCCCGCGCUCCCAAACCACCGGACGUCCCACCCCGCGCCGUGACAACGCGGCCGGAGCCGCGGGCCCCUCACCCCGAGCCACUCACCCCACGCGCGAGCAGCGGCCG